CAUAUAUCAAACUGUGAGAAAUGUACAUAAAGAAUCCUACACACUACAGUCUACAGUUAAGAGAAUCAACAAUCAGUUCAAAAAGUUAUGUUGCGUAAAAAAUGAAAAAUUCAUAAAUGAAUCUUAAUAUACAUAUUAGUGCUCAGAUUCAUGACAAAAUCUAAAAUGCAAAAUUUCAAGUAGCUUACAAACAGAAAAAUGUAAUUACAUUUAACUUUUGCAAAAAAUAAACAUGAUAUAUUAAAUUUUGCAAAAAGAAAUAUGAUAUGUUUACUUUCAGUUGAAUAACAAGGGCAUUAGUAGCUUGGAUUAAUAACAUCUGUUUCCUCACCGUCACGAAUUUCUUACAGAUAAACAACUGAAACAAUAAAGCAAUAAUGUUAUUAACAAAAAAAAAAGAAUCAAGAAGUGAAACACUGAAAGAAAGACGACUGCAAGGGUCAAAUCGCUUACCUUUCACAUUUAUACUCAUUGUUGUCAUCUAAAAUGUUCAGCUAAAAGAAAUUUUGCAUUGAUUCAUUCACUGAGUUAUUGUAAAAUCUUCUUUGACGUAUCGAUUGUAUGAUUAUGAUUGACACUAAGAGAUUAUGCUGAUCUUUUACCAACUAUGCAAAAAAAAACUCAUAUCAUAUUUCCUCUCUCUCUAUCUACGUAUCAGUCACCUAUCAAAUAUUCAAAAACAUAUCUAACCUUUCAUACUUCUCUUCUCCUUUUUUCACGAGAGAUUAAUGCAGUUUUACUAAAAAAAAAUAAAUAAAAAAAAAAAAAGCACCAACGGCCUUAGGUUUUUAAUGAUAAAUUAGACAUCUUAUAUCAAAAUUAAUUAGUAAAGCAUCAUAAAUGGACAAAACACAAAACCAAAUAAGUAAUCACAUUCAAAUUAUUGAUUGGAUCCGUCGCAAAUAACUUAUAUGCAAUAUGUUAUAUGCAAUAUGAUGAA
rnacentral:lncRNA from 1 species